rnacentral:rRNA from 1 species
UAGGGGUNCAANCNUUNUCNGGAAUUAUUGGGNGUAAAAGANUNGUAGNCGGUUUNUNGNUCGNCUGUGAAANCCCGGAGNUCAACUCCGGGUNUGCAGUCGAUACGGGCAGANUAGAGUGUUGCAGGGGAGACUGGAAUUCCUGGUGUAGCGGUGAAAUGCGCAGAUAUCAGGAGGAACACCGGUGGCGAAGGCGGGUCUCUGGGCAACAACUGACGCUGAGGAGCGAAAGCGUGGGGAGCGAACAGGAUUAGAUACCCUGGUAGUCCACGCCGUAAACGUUGGGCGCUAGGUGUGGGGGCCAUUCCACGGUCUCCGUGCCGCAGCUAACGCAUUAAGCGCCCCGCCUGGGGAGUACGGCCGCAAGGCUAAAACUCAAAGGAAUUGACGGGGGCCCGCACAAGCGGCGGAGCAUGUUGCUUAAUUCGAUGCAACGCGAAGAACCUUACCUAGGCUUGACAUGUGCGGAAAUCCUCCAGAGAUGGUGGGUCCGUAAGGGUCGCACACAGGUGGUGCAUGGUUGUCGUCAGCUCGUGUCGUGAGAUGUUGGGUUAAGUCCCGCAACGAGCGCAACCCUCGUUCCAUGUUGCCAGCACGUAGUGGUGGGGACUCAUGGGAGACUGCCGGGGUCAACUCGGAGGAAGGUGGGGAUGACGUCAAAUCAUCAUGCCCCUUAUGUCUAGGGCUGCAAACAUGCUACAAUGGCCGGUACAAAGGGCUGCGAUACCGCGAGGUGGAGCGAAUCCCAAAAAGCCGGUCUCAGUUCGGAUUGGGGUCUGCAACUCGACCCCAUGAAGUUGGAGUCGCUAGUAAUCGCAGAUCAGCAACGCUGCGGUGAAUACGUUCCCGGGCCUUGCACACACCGCCCGU